AGAACCAACCACAAAAUGGAUUCCACCUAUUGCCGAGUUCUACUCGGUUUCCUUCUUUUUUUAUCACGUUGGUGGAACUCAGAUUGGAACUCUACUCGAUCCGGACCAAGACCACAGUUCAAUUCGGACUUCGCAACAGAUUCGACAGAGAGAAGAUAUGGUAAUACUCAGCUGUGUAUAGAUGGUGACAAGAACUCGAAACUCUAAAGGACUAGACACUAAGACCAGCAACUCGACACAAACCGAAGCAACGCAAAUUCAACAAGCCCUAACUAAAACGGUACUAGCCAAGGCACAAAGGUUUAAUAGGAUUAUGGAAAAACUAAUCUACUAUAUUUUUUUGGCUUUUCUGGAACAAAAGAAUACAAAAGAGCAAUUCGCUACACACUCUCUCUCUCUCUCUAGUGUAAGGCCAAACAAGUAUGGAGUUAUCUUUCUUUUUGGAUCACAGAAGGACUCACAUAGACGGAGUUCCGGCUAUAUUAACAAGCGGACUCCAAGUUCUAUUCAGUUUCCACUCAGAACCAACCACAAAAUGGAUUCCACCUAUUGCCGAGUUCUACUCGGUUUCCUUCUUUUUUUAUCACGUUGGUGGAACUCAGAUUGGAACUCUACUCGAUCCGGACCAAGACCACAGUUCAAUUCGGACUUCGCAACAGAUUCGACAGAGAGAAGAUAUGGUAAUACUCAGCUGUGUAUAGAUGGUGACAAGAACUCGAAACUCUAAAGGACUAGACACUAAGACCAGCAACUCGACACAAACCGAAGCAACGCAAAUUCAACAAGCUCUAACUAAAACGGUACUAGCCAAGGCACAAAGGUUUAAUAGGAUUAUGGAAAAACUAAUCUACUAUAUUUUUUUGGCUUUUCUGGACUAUAGGAAAUUAAUUAAAAACAGAAAAGGAUUAGAAGUCUCUCACCGAAGAACCUUGCUCUGAUACCAACAGAUGCGAAUCCGCUAGGGUUUUUGCCCGAUCUUUUGAUGAGAGACGGGGAUAACUCGAUUGGUGGAUGGAGAUGACGUUCAUGGCCCGACUACAGCCCUCAAGACCGCGCCUUAGCAACCGAUACACCACGUCCAAUAGCCGUCACGAUCUUGUGGAGCGCGACAACCAACCCCUAGGGCUCCCGUUCUGCA
rnacentral:lncRNA from 1 species